rnacentral:RNase_P_RNA from 1 species
UCGGUUUUGCGGAUGAUCGCUCUAAUAAUACUCAAAUACUUGAUAUUAGGGAGGAAAGUCCGGACUCCAUAUGGCAGCGCAAGGGGUAACGCCCCUCUACAGUAAUGUAAGGAACAGUGGAACAGAGAGAAUGUCCGGGGCAUUGAGCCUGACACCGGGAACGGGAGGGUCAGGGGAGCCGCCGGAGUGAAAACAGCCAAACUCUGCGCGGAGCAAGAUCAAAUAGGGUGGCAUUAGUAGGACGGCCAGUCCGUAGCCACCGGGUAAGAUCGCUUGAGGGUGACAGUAAUGUCACUCCUAGAGGAAUGAUCAUCUAAUUUCAUCGGGACAAUUAUGGGACCAGGUGAGAUGGACAGAAUCCGGCUUAAAGCAAAACCUGACUC